UGUGCAAAUCCAUGCAAAGCUCU
rnacentral:miRNA from 5 species